GUGCUCGCUUCGGCAGCACAUAGAUUAAAUUGAGACAAUACAGAGAACAUUAGCAUGGGCCCUGUGCCUGUGCAAGGAUGACAUGCAAAUGCGUGAAGCGUUCCAUAUUUUU
rnacentral:snRNA from 1 species